rnacentral:lncRNA from 1 species
UGAACCCUUGCCUUUCAGUGCCUUAACGAGGGCCGAAGUAGAAUUUUUCUUAGCUAAACCUGCAACAUUAAUGACCUGCUUUGUCCCAUUGACCAUCUUAUUAACCUUACCAUUGGGUGGAUUAUUCCUUUUCACCACCUCACUAGCAGGUACCAUCUUAACCGAUCGUCCAUUAGUCCCAACUCUUGAGGGAGAUUCAGUUUGCCGCGCUUCAACAUGAAACUGAAAUGCUUUAUUAGUCAAAGUUGGAUUACAUGUUUUCCUCUCAAAGCUUGAUAUGGAACUCGAGAAACUAAGAUUGUCCAUAUCUCUUCCUUGGUUUAUCAAAUCAAUAUUGUGGCAAUAACAGCCUUGUGAAGCCAGUAUUGCCGCCAUUCAAUCGACAAACACCUAUGGAUUGAUAUCAAUACAGAAAUUAGACUGAUGCUAAACCAAAUAACAAUACUAAGAAUUAAAGCGAGCAAAUGUCAGUUAUAAUGGGAAACACGAAAAUUAAACCAUUAACACGACAAAUCUGAAGCCAGAACACUCAAUGAAAUAAAAAAAUAAAAAAAAAAACUCAACUGAAAGCAAGAUAAUGAAACAAAAGAAGAAAACAAAUGAGCAAUGAAUAUUCACCCACCAAGUCAAUGACUCUUAAGUAUUAAUUCUAAUUAUCUAAACAUGAAUGAACAUAUAUACUAAGUUAGUUAAGAGAACAGAAGAGUUUAAACUUAAAAGACAUUAAUACAUGCAAAUUGAAUAAUGUUUGUUUGAAACUAAAGAGAGCCCAGAUGAAGAUACUCACAAGAGAAGAAGAAAGAGUAACUAUCAAGUCUUAGAAAUGAAUCUCGAAGCUGAGAGAUUUAUUGGGUUUUAAGAAAAAUGACCAAAAAAUUGAUUUUUUUUUUAUAAGAAAAUAAAUUGACUAAAUAAGUGUUAUGAACAAAAUGUGGACGAGCAAAAAGAACGUGGACAGCACAGUGGCAGCGUGUCUCCCUUGCCAAUUCUAGUUGAUUAAGUUACUCAACAUAUUGUUCGGUCUGAUUUUUCUUUCUCUUUUUGUUUGGGUAUAUUUGUAAUUUCAUUUUAACGACAAAACUGAAAGUUGAAUCUUCACGACAACCAUUCAGUUGCGUGGCGGGUUUUAUUUUCUUGUCAAGAAUGGGUAAAAUUAUAUAUGAGUCCCUGAUGUUUCUUUAAGCGAUGACUUAUUUAUCCGUAUCAACAGGUCCAGGAUUAUCGCCAUUAAAAAUUUGAAAUGAUCAUCUUAACCUUGCAAUUUUGGACUUCCAAGAGUAUAUGUAAUAUAACUUAACUCUAAAGGGUAUUUCAGUUAUUGCGAUUGAAAUUAUCAAAUUGGGGACAUAUUUGAUAUAAAUGGAAGAACUAUUUAUUAUUAUUGGGAAAUAAUAAACUAUUAACCAAUAGCGUGGAUGUUAAAAUAAGAUCUAUAAUAACAAUUUAGUGAUUUUUUUUUUUAAAAAUUUUUGAGAAGAUCAAUUUAGUGAUCUUAAAUUAUUAACAAAAAAGCCAGAAGCCCCCCAAAAAAAAAAAAGAUUUAAGUCGAAGAGACCAAGAAAUGAUGAGAAACUUGGCCAAAUAUGAAAUCAGUAAUGAUAAUGACUGAUCAAAGUUUGAAGCCAAUCUGGCAGCAUCAUAUACCUGUUUAUCUUCUGAGAAGCCUCCCAAAUAGGCCCAUUUGGCAUUGUCAAACAGAAUACGGAUUUGUAAUGAAAGGACAAAUGACCAAACAUCUAUAAUCCUUUGCCAGGAAUUAUAAUUCUCAUUAGCCCAACUGAAACUUUCAUCCGAGGGCAGAACCUUCAGCUCCUCCACUGGUGGAAGUUCAUUUGAACCCUUGCCUUUCAGUGCCUUAACGAGGGCCGAAGUAGAAUUUUUCUUAGCUAAACCUGCAACAUUAAUGACCUGCUUUGUCCCAUUGACCAUCUUAUUAACCUUACCAUUGGGUGGAUUAUUCCUUUUCACCACCUCACUAGCAGGUACCAUCUUAACCGAUCGUCCAUUAGUCCCAACUCUUGAGGGAGAUUCAGUUUGCCGCGCUUCAACAUGAAACUGAAAUGCUUUAUUAGUCAAAGUUGGAUUACAUGUUUUCCUCUCAAAGCUUGAUAUGGAACUCGAGAAACUAAGAUUGUCCAUAUCUCUUCCUUGGUUUAUCAAAUCAAUAUUGUGGCAAUAACAGCCUUGUGAAGCCAGUAUUGCCGCCAUUCAAUCGACAAACACCUAUGGAUUGAUAUCAAUACAGAAAUUAGACUGAUGCUAAACCAAAUAACAAUACUAAGAAUUAAAGCGAGCAAAUGUCAGUUAUAAUGGGAAACACGAAAAUUAAACCAUUAACACGACAAAUCUGAAGCCAGAACACUCAAUGAAAUAAAAAAAUAAAAAAAAAAACUCAACUGAAAGCAAGAUAAUGAAACAAAAGAAGAAAACAAAUGAGCAAUGAAUAUUCACCCACCAAGUCAAUGACUCUUAAGUAUUAAUUCUAAUUAUCUAAACAUGAAUGAACAUAUAUACUAAGUUAGUUAAGAGAACAGAAGAGUUUAAACUUAAAAGACAUUAAUACAUGCAAAUUGAAUAAUGUUUGUUUGAAACUAAAG